rnacentral:rRNA from 1 species
CCUACGGGAGGCAGCAGUGGGGAAUAUUGGGCAAUGGAGGAAACUCUGACCCAGCAAUGCCGCGUGAAUGAAGAAGGUCUUCGGAUUGUAAAGUUCUUUAGUCAGGGACGAAUAAAAUGACGGUACCUGAAUAAUAAGCUCCGGCUAACUACGUGCCAGCAGCCGCGGUAAUACGGAGGGAGGAAGCGUUGUUCGGAAUGACUGGGCGUAAAGGGGGCGUAGGGGGGUAUACAAGUUAGUAGUGAAAUACCCAGGGCUUAACUCGGGUGCUGCUUCUAAAACUGUAAGACUUGAGUGCAGGAGAGGUUAGUGGAAUUCCGGGUGUAGCGGUGGAAUGCGUAGAUAUUAGGAGGAACACCAGAGGCGAAGGCGGCCAACUGGACUGCAACUGACGCUGAGGCACGAAAGUGUGGGGAGCAAACAGGAUUAGAUACCCCUGUAGUC